ACGAACGCUGGCGGCGUGCCUAAUACAUGCAAGUAGAACGCUGAAGAGAGGAGCUUGCUCUUCUUGGAUGAGUUGCGAACGGGUGAGUAACGCGUAGGUAACCUGCCUUGUAGCGGGGGAUAACUAUUGGAAACGAUAGCUAAUACCGCAUAACAAUGGAUGACACAUGUCAUUUAUUUGAAAGGGGCAAUUGCUCCACUACAAGAUGGACCUGCGUUGUAUUAGCUAGUAGGUGAGGUAACGGCUCACCUAGGCGACGAUACAUAGCCGACCUGAGAGGGUGAUCGGCCACACUGGGACUGAGACACGGCCCAGACUCCUACGGGAGGCAGCAGUAGGGAAUCUUCGGCAAUGGGGGCAACCCUGACCGAGCAACGCCGCGUGAGUGAAGAAGGUUUUCGGAUCGUAAAGCUCUGUUGUAAGUCAAGAACGAGUGUGAGAGUGGAAAAUUCACACUGUGACGGUAGCUUACCAGAAAGGGACGGCUAACUACGUGCCAGCCGCCGCGGUAAUACGUAGGUCCCGAGCGUUGUCCAGAUUUAUUGGGCGUAACGCGAGCGCAAGCGGUUUGAAAAGUCUCAAGUUAAAGGCUGUGGCUCAACCAUAGUUCGCUUUGGAAACUGUCAAACUUGAGUGCAGAAGGGGAGAGUGGAAUUCCAUGUGUAGCGGUGAAAUGCGUAGAUAUAUGGAGGAACACCGGUGGCGAAAGCGGCUCUCUGGUCUGUAACUGACGCUGAGGCUCGAAAGCGUGGGGAGCGAACAGGAUUAGAUACCCUGGUAGUCCACGCCGUAAACGAUGAGUGCUAGGUGUUGGAUCCUUUCCGGGAUUCAGUGCCGCAGCUAACGCAUUAAGCACUCCGCCUGGGGAGUACGACCGCAAGGUUGAAACUCAAAGGAAUUGACGGGGGCCCGCACAAGCGGUGGAGCAUGUGGUUUAAUUCGAAGCAACGCGAAGAACCUUACCAGGUCUUGACAUCCCGAUGCUAUUUCUAGAGAUAGAAAGUUACUUCGGUACAUCGGUGACAGGUGGUGCAUGGUUGUCGUCAGCUCGUGUCGUGAGAUGUUGGGUUAAGUCCCGCAACGAGCGCAACCCCUAUUGUUAGUUGCCAUCAUUCAGUUGGGCACUCUAGCGAGACUGCCGGUAAUAAACCGGAGGAAGGUGGGGAUGACGUCAAAUCAUCAUGCCCCUUAUGACCUGGGCUACACACGUGCUACAAUGGUUGGUACAACGAGUUGCGAGUCGGUGACGGCAAGCUAAUCUCUUAAAGCCAAUCUCAGUUCGGAUUGUAGGCUGCAACUCGCCUACAUGAAGUCGGAAUCGCUAGUAAUCGCGGAUCAGCACGCCGCGGUGAAUACGUUCCCGGGCCUUGUACACACCGCCCGUCACACCACGAGAGUUUGUAACACCCGAAGUCGGUGAGGUAACCUUUUGGAGCCAGCCGCCUAAGGUGGGAUAGAUGAUUGGGGUG
rnacentral:rRNA from 1 species